UACGGAGGGUGCAAGCGUUGUUCGGGUUUACUGGGCGUAAAGGGCGCGUAGGCGGCUUGGUAAGUCGGGUGUGAAAUCCUUCCGCUUAACGGAAGAAGUGCACCCGAAACUGCCUUGCUCGAGUUUAGGAGAGGAGAGCGGAAUUCCUGGUGUAGAGGUGAAAUUCGUAGAUAUCGGGAGGAACACCCGUGGCGAAAGCGGCUCUCUGGCCUAAUACUGACGCUGAGGCGCGAAGGCGUGGGGAGCAAACAGG
rnacentral:rRNA from 1 species